GCGUGUCGCCGCAGAUCGUCCGCGAGGAAGCGCGACCCGCCCGCCGCCGGGGCCGCCGGAGCUUCCGCCGAGCCUUCGGAUGGGGGCGGCGGCACCGCCAUGAGGAGAGAGGAGAGCCGCGACCCAAACAGUGCCGUCAUGGCCUGCGGACACAAGCAAAACGUUGAGAAGUUGUUACGGUGGGAGGCCGUCUGGAGUCGGACUGACCUUGACAUCGCGACCCUGGGGCGCGGGCCCGGCCUCGGCGGCGAGGCUGAUGAUGAAGAUGAGGACCAGCAGCGAGAGGAAGGAGGCCGCCGAGGCGUCCAUUUUCAGAAAACAAUGGCCUGGGUGGGCCUCAGUGGAUCUUGGGGUGGCGGAAGUCCUUCCCGGCGAACGUGGCCUUGUCGCCCAGCUCCUCCUCGAUCCUGGAGGGUCGCACGCCAGAAAGGAGGCGGAGUCCGACGACCAAAUCCGAGAUGAACGUGUCCUCGGUCUCUCCUGAGCGGUGGCUGACCAUCACGCCCCAGCCGCUGUUCUGGGCAAGCUUGCACCUACGCGCACAGACAGUGUGGGUAACUGUCAGACUAUCCCCGGCGUACACUCGGAGAGAAGGUCAGAGUUCAUCCAAAGGAGAAAUGUGACACACUCAGCCUUCAAGCAAAGGUGACUGCGAAGCCGACGGAUGUUUGCGUCUGUGUGCGCUGCGAUUGGACGGCCGGCGGCCCAGGGAGGACCAAUGAGGAGAAGCGCUUCAGACAACGCGUCAUGUGUACAAGUACACUCUCUGUGUACUUAUUAUAUUUGGGCGACCUUGGGUGCACGCAGCAUUUUUGAUCAAACACACUGUGAAAUGGUGACCCCCUCGUGACUUCUAACAGUGUAAAUAAAUACAGGCCGGUUAUAAUAUUUUGAAGACUGAAAAUAUGAGUCCAAACAACCAAAAUAAUUUAACUAACUUCAGAUGUAAAAAUGUAGACUGAGUGAAAUUUAUAUCAAAUGGGCUACUCCACUUCCAAGUUAUACUUCAGAAAUAAGUACACG